CCUACGGGAGGCAGCAGUGAGGAAUAUUGGUCAAUGGACGAGAGUCUGAACCAGCCAUGUCGCGUGCAGGAUGACUGCUCUAUGGGUUGUAAACUUCUUUUAUACAAGAAUAAAAUUGUCUACGUGUAUUCAGCUGAAUGUACCAUACGAAUAAGGAUCGGCUAACUCCGUGCCAGCAGCCGCGGUAAUACGGAGGAUCCAAGCGUUAUCCGGAUUUAUUGGGUUUAAGGGGUGCGUAGGUGGAUUGUUAAGUCAGUUGUGAAAGUUUGGGGCUCAACCGUAGAAUUGCAGCUGAUACUGUGGGUCUAGAGUGUAGUAGAGGUGGGCGGAAUGCGUGGUGUAGCGGUGAAAUGCUUAGAUAUCACAAAGAACUCCGAUUGCGAAGGCAGCUCACUAGACUACAUCUGACGUUGAGGCACGAAAGUGUGGGUAGCAAACAGGAUUAGAUACCCUUGUAGUC
rnacentral:rRNA from 1 species